AACCUCCGCAAUGUGAGAAAUCGCGACGGGGGAAUCCCAAGUGCCAUUCUUAACGGGAUGGCUUUUCAUUAGUGUAAAGAGCUUUUGGAAUAAGAGCUGGGCAAGACCGGUGCCAGCCGCCGCGGUAACACCGGCAGCUCUAGUGGUAACAAUUUUUAUUGGGCCUAAAGCGUCCGUAGCCGGUUUAAUAAGUCUCUGGUGAAAUCCUGCAGCUUAACUGUGGGAAUUGCUGGAGAUACUAUUAGACUUGAGACCGGGAGAGGUUAGAGGUACUCCCAGGAUAGAGGUGAAAUUCUGUAAUCCUGGGAGGACCGCCUGUUGCGAAGGCGUCUAACUGGAACGGUUCUGACGGUGAGGGACGAAAGUUAGGGGCGCGAACCGGAUUAGAUACCCGGGUAGUCCUAACUGUAAACGAUGCGGACUUGGUGUUGGGUGGCUUUGAGCUGCUCCAGUGCCGAAGGGAAGCUGUUAAGUCCGCCGCCUGGGAAGUACGGUCGCAAGACUGAAACUUAAAGGAAGU
rnacentral:rRNA from 1 species